UCAUCAGGUAGGAUAAUCCUUACCUGUUCCUCCUUUUGGAGAGCAGAUGAUUCGUGGUUAACGUCUCUGCGUGAUCAGGACUUGCAACACCCUGAUCGCAAAAAAAAGAA